AAAUUGAAGAGUUUGAUCAUGGCUCAGAUUGAACGCUGGCGGCAGGCCUAACACAUGCAAGUCGAACGGUAACAGGAAGCAGCUUGCUGCUUCGCUGACGAGUGGCGGACGGGUGAGUAAUGUCUGGGAAACUGCCUGAUGGAGGGGGAUAACUACUGGAAACGGUGGCUAAUACCGCAUAACGUCGCAAGACCAAAGAGGGGGACCUUCGGGCCUCUUGCCAUCAGAUGUGCCCAGAUGGGAUUAGCUAGUUGGUGAGGUAACGGCUCACCAAGGCGACGAUCCCUAGCUGGUCUGAGAGGAUGACCAGCCACACUGGAACUGAGACACGGUCCAGACUCCUACGGGAGGCAGCAGUGGGGAAUAUUGCACAAUGGGCGCAAGCCUGAUGCAGCCAUGCCGCGUGUAUGAAGAAGGCCUUCGGGUUGUAAAGUACUUUCAGCGGGGAGGAAGGUGCUGUGGUUAAUAACCGCAGCAAUUGACGUUACCCGCAGAAGAAGCACCGGCUAACUCCGUGCCAGCAGCCGCGGUAAUACGGAGGGUGCAAGCGUUAAUCGGAAUUACUGGGCGUAAAGCGCACGCAGGCGGUCUGUCAAGUCGGAUGUGAAAUCCCCGGGCUCAACCUGGGAACUGCAUUCGAAACUGGCAGGCUUGAGUCUUGUAGAGGGGGGUAGAAUUCCAGGUGUAGCGGUGAAAUGCGUAGAGAUCUGGAGGAAUACCGGUGGCGAAGGCGGCCCCCUGGACAAAGACUGACGCUCAGGUGCGAAAGCGUGGGGAGCAAACAGGAUUAGAUACCCUGGUAGUCCACGCCGUAAACGAUGUCUACUUGGAGGUUGUGCCCUUGAGGCGUGGCUUCCGGAGCUAACGCGUUAAGUAGACCGCCUGGGGAGUACGGCCGCAAGGUUAAAACUCAAAUGAAUUGACGGGGGCCCGCACAAGCGGUGGAGCAUGUGGUUUAAUUCGAUGCAACGCGAAGAACCUUACCUGGUCUUGACAUCCACGGAAGGUCUCAGAGAUGAGACUGUGCCUUCGGGAACCGUGAGACAGGUGCUGCAUGGCUGUCGUCAGCUCGUGUUGUGAAAUGUUGGGUUAAGUCCCGCAACGAGCGCAAC
rnacentral:rRNA from 1 species